rnacentral:miRNA from 1 species
AACCUAAUCCUAAUCCUAAUCAUUUACCUAACCCAAACCCUAAAAAUAUUUGAACGUUUAGGGUUUGGGUUAGGUUAAGGAUUAGGAUUAGGAUUA